GGUCAUGUGGCCCAAUGGUUAGGGCAUCUGGCUUCGAUAUAAACUAGUAAAUGUCAGGCACCAGGGGAUUGCAGGUUCGAUCCCUGCCAUGAUCA